GACGGGGGGGACCAGUGUUAGUCACAAUGAUUGGGCGUAAAGGGUGUGUAGACGGCAUUUCCAACCAACGAUAAAAGCCUACAAAAAGUGUAGAAAUUCGUUGAUAUUGUUUUGCUAGAGUAUAGGAGAAGAGAGUGGUAUUCUUAGUGGAGUUGUAAUAUCCGGAGAUAUUAAGAAGACCCUCAAUGGCAAAGGCAACGAUCUAUUCUAUACUGACGUUGAGACACGGAAGCAUGGGUAUCAAACGAG
rnacentral:rRNA from 1 species